UGAAAUUCUAAUUAAACUAUUCCUUG
rnacentral:tRNA from 1 species